GGGCGUUAAGUUGCAGGGUAUAGACCCGAAACCCGGUGAUCUAGCCAUGGGCAGGUUGAAGGUUGGGUAACACUAACUGGAGGACCGAACCGACUAAUGUUGAAAAAUUAGCGGAUGACCUGUGGCUGGGGGUGAAAGGCCAAUCAAACCGGGAGAUAGCUGGUUCUCCCCGAAAGCUAUUUAGGUAGCGCCUCGUGAAUUCAUCUCCGGGGGUAGAGCACUGUUUCGGCUAGGGGGCCAUCCCGGCUUACCAACCCGAUGCAAACUGCGAAUACCGGAGAAUGUUAUCACGGGAGACACACGGCGGGUGCUAACGUCCGUCGUGAAGAGGGAAACAACCCAGACCGCCAGCUAAGGUCCCAAAGUCAUGGUUAAGUGGGAAACGAUGUGGGAAGGCCCAGACAGCCAGGAUGUUGGCUUAGAAGCAGCCAUCAUUUAAAGAAAGCGUAAUAGCUCACUGGUCGAGUCGGCCUGCGCGGAAGAUGUAACGGGGCUAAACCAUGCACCGAAGCUGCGGCAGCGACACUCAGGUGUUGUUGGGUAGGGGAGCGUUCUGUAAGCCUGUGAAGGUGGCCUGUGAGGGUUGCUGGAGGUAUCAGAAGUGCGAAUGCUGACAUAAGUAACGAUAAAGCGGGUGAAAAGCCCGCUCGCCGGAAGACCAAGGGUUCCUGUCCAACGUUAAUCGGGGCAGGGUGAGUCGACCCCUAAGGCGAGGCCGAAAGGCGUAGUCGAUGGGAAACGGGUUAAUAUUCCCGUACUUGGUGUUACUGCGAAGGGGGGACGGAGAAGGCUAUGUUGGCCGGGCGACGGUUGUCCCGGUUUAAGCGUGUAGG
rnacentral:rRNA from 2 species